rnacentral:lncRNA from 1 species
AUCCUGUCAUCCUUGAUAUGCAGUAAUCAGUAACGAUCAAGUUUAUGUUAGUUUCCUGCAAUAUCAAAUCAAAGCCAGUGUAUAAAUGCACAAAUUAAGUUUUAAAAGAUGAUGUGUCAUACAUGCUGAUCACAGGAUUGAAUGAUGGACUGGUGAUAACAAAUCACAUGCAUUGAACUGGUGACACUAUUUUUUCCAACCAUAAAUAUAUAAUGCCUGCUAUUUUCUUUGUUCCAUGGCUUUCUCCCAAACAUUAGUGACUAGAGCAUAAAUAAAUAUGAGCAGAUGUUGGACUGUGAAUGAGGC